CAGCCGCCGCGGUAAUACGUAGGGUGCAAGCGUUAUCCGGAAUUAUUGGGCGUAAAGAGCUCGUAGGCGGUUUGUCGCGUCUGUCGUGAAAGUCCGGGGCUCAACUCCGGAUCUGCGGUGGGUACGGGCAGACUAGAGUGAUGUAGGGGAGACUGGAAUUCCUGGUGUAGCGGUGGAAUGCGCAGAUAUCAGGAGGAACACCGAUGGCGAAGGCAGGUCUCUGGGCAUUAACUGACGCUGAGGAGCGAAAGCAUGGGGAGCGAACAGGAUUAGAUACCCCUGUAGUCCCUGUCUCUUAUAC
rnacentral:rRNA from 1 species